CUCUCUCUCUCUCUCUCCCCCUCUCUCUCUCUCUCUCUGUCUCGCGCUCUCCUCUCUCUUCUCUUCUCUCCCCUCUGGUCUCCCUCGUCUUCCCUCCCCCCCCCACACCCCUUCUUCCUCCCCUCGGCUGCUCCUGCUUUUCGCAUCACACACACUAUAUAAAUAUACGCGGAGAUGCCCAGAUACAUUCAUGCGCUGCGCACACAGGAUACUUGCUCCCGGGAGAUAAGAGCGAACUAGGAACAAUGCCGGGGUCCACGCCCGGCGCCCGCGCCCUGAUUCCCGAGAUACGUUCAUUAAUGCUUUUUCCAGCCGGAGACAAAUUUUGGGGGGGGGGAGUGCAGAAGAGUUUACUCGGGCUGGGGAUAACCUGGAGCUUACUGCCCUGGAAGACCUGGACGCAAACCGAAGCAGACCAACCAUUAAAAAGUGCAUCCAAUGGACAUUCUUCCACUCGGGCCCUCGACUGCGGAGUCGCGCAAACUCCUGGAGCGGCUCACGCAACUACGCGGGCUCCUGCGGUUUCGGACGGACCUCGGCCGUCGGGGGCGGGGACUCGGCUCCCAGCGCGGUUAGCGAAGGGACGCCCUCGGGGCGGUGCGCCUCGGUCCCUCAGCUACUGGAGAGCUCCCGGCUCCGGGAUCCGCGGCACCCCAGGCCACUUAUCCGCGCCAUCUAGGGUCAAACCCCUCGCGCAUACCCCGACCCAAGGGCCCAAACCCUUGCGCCCGGGCGCCCGGGCCAGUGCUGCCUAUGCAGUGCCACCUUUGGCCCCAAGAAACCUACGGUACAGCGAGACGAUCCCUCCAGGCUGUCCGGCAGGUCUCCAGAACACAGCUUGCAACAUCCCCGCACCGACCCAGACCUCUCCCAGCCCAGACUCUGUCGACCUUCAAAUGACAACAAGGCUUUCAGGAGGGAGCAGGGAGACUGCUUCCCACCAGGACCUGACCAGAAACCCGGCACCCUCAGCCUCAUUCUCCCUCUUUCAGGCAGAAAGACCGCCAAUCUACCACAGGAGGCCCCCUUCUCGGUGCUGGGCAAACACUGAGGUCAUUAAUGGCCACCCCAGGCCAGGCAGUGGCUCCCCCUUCUAGGGCUUGUGAAGGCACCUCUGUGGCAAAACAUUGGCCAGUCUUCUCUUUCCAACUCCUCUUCUGCCUGGCAACUACCUGCCUUCACUGCUCUGAUCACCCCAACGUCCCUAGCAUCCCUGCCUCUCUUCUUGGGAGAACUCCAUGUGGAACUAAAUUAAAAUGAGGACUUGUCCUCCUGU
rnacentral:lncRNA from 1 species